rnacentral:rRNA from 1 species
CAUAACGUCGCAAGACCAAAGAGGGGGACCUUCGGGCCUCUUGCCAUCGGAUGUGCCCAGAUGGGAUUAGCUAGUAGGUGGGGUAACGGCUCACCUANGCGACGAUCCCUAGCUGGUCUGAGAGGAUGACCAGCCACACUGGAACUGAGACACGGUCCAGACUCCUACGGGAGGCAGCAGUGGGGAAUAUUGCACAAUGGGCGCAAGCCUGAUGCAGCCAUGCCGCGUGUAUGAAGAAGGCCUUCGGGUUGUAAAGUACUUUCAGCGGGGAGGAAGGGAGUAAAGUUAAUACCUUUGCUCAUUGACGUUACCCGCAGAAGAAGCACCGGCUAACUCCGUGCCAGCAGCCGCGGUAAUACGGAGGGUGCAAGCGUUAAUCGGAAUUACUGGGCGUAAAGCGCACGCAGGCGGUUUGUUAAGUCAGAUGUGAAAUCCCCGGGCUCAACCUGGGAACUGCAUCUGAUACUGGCAAGCUUGAGUCUCGUAGAGGGGGGUAGAAUUCCAGGUGUAGCGGUGAAAUGCGUAGAGAUCUGGAGGAAUACCGGU